rnacentral:rRNA from 1 species
GACAGAGGUCUCGAGCGUUAGGCGGAAUCACUGGGCUUAAAGCGUGUGUAGGCGGAUUUGUAAGUACCUUGUGAAAUCCCACGGCUUAACCGUGGAACUGCUGGGUAUACUGCUAUCUUGGGUCAUCUAGGGGCGAGCGGAACAAACGGUGGAGCGGUGAAAUGCGUAGAUAUCGUUUGGAACGCCAAUGGUGAAAACAGCUCGCUGGGGAUGUACCGACGCUGAGACACGAAAGCCAGGGGAGCGAACGGG